UGGGGAAUAUUGGACAAUGGGCGAAAGCCUGAUCCAGCCAUGCCGCGUGUGUGAAGAAGGUCUUCGGAUUGUAAAGCACUUUAAGUUGGGAGGAAGGGCAGUAAGCGAAUACCUUGCUGUUUUGACGUUACCGACAGAAUAAGCACCGGCUAACUCUGUGCCAGCAGCCGCGGUAAUACAGAGGGUGCAAGCGUUAAUCGGAAUUACUGGGCGUAAAGCGCGCGUAGGUGGUUCGUUAAGUUGAAUGUGAAGCCCCGGGCUCAACCUGGGAACUGCAUCCAAAACUGGCGAGCUAGAGUAGGGCAGAGGGUGGUGGAAUUUCCUGUGUAGCGGUGAAAUGCGUAGAUAUAGGAAGGAACACCAGUGGCGAAGGCGACCACCUGGGCUCAUACUGACACUGAGGUGCGAAAGCGUGGGGAGCAAACAGG
rnacentral:rRNA from 1 species